CGUGUAGGCGGCUCUGCCAGUCAGGCGUGAAAGCCCCGGGCUUAACCUGGGAACUGCGCUUGAUACUGCGGAGCUUGAGUUCGGGAGAGGAGAGUGGAAUUCCCAGUGUAGAGGUGAAAUUCGUAGAUAUUGGGAAGAACACCAGUGGCGAAGGCGGCUCUCUGGACCGAUACUGACGCUGAGGCGCGAAAGCGUGGGGAGCAAACA
rnacentral:rRNA from 1 species